GUGAGAAUUCGUAUAUCAAAGCAGUAUAUGAUUUGUCAUACCUCACGAAUCUUCGAUUCCGAUGUUUUCCAUAUCACAGUGAUCUCAUUUUCCACCUCAGCCCCCAUGGUUUUCGUUUCCGGAAGGCAUGCAAGGUGGCACAUGACCACACAGCAAAAGUAAUAAAACAAAGAAAGAAGAUGCUUAAGAAUGAAAAAGAACUGGAGAAAAUUCAGCAGAAGCGGUACCUUGACUUUCUUGAUAUCCUACUUUGUGCCAGAGAUGAAGAGGGAAAG